rnacentral:rRNA from 1 species
CUUGUCAGGUAAGUUCUGACCCGCACGAAAGGCGUAAUGAUUUGGGCACUGUCUCAACAAUGUCCCCGGCGAAAUUGUAGUACUAGUGAAGAUGCUAGUUACCUGUGAUAAGACAGAAAGACCCCAUGGAGCUUUACUGUAGCUUGAUAUUGAGACUAGGUGAAGGAUGUACAGAAUAGAUGGGAGACUAUGAGAUUAAGGCGCUAGCCUUAAAGGAGUCACCUUUGGGAUACCAUCCUUCCUUUACUUGGAAUCUAACCAUUCACCGUAAUCCGGUGAUAGGACAGUGUCAGGUGGGCAGUUUGACUGGGGCGGUCGCCUCCUAAAAUGUAACGGAGGCGCCCAAAGGUUCCCUCAGUGCGGUUGGAAAUCGCGCGUAGAGUGCAAAGGCAGAAGGGAGCCUAACUGCGAGACCAACAAGUCGAGCAGUGACGAAAGUCGGACUUAGUGAUCCGGUGGUUCCGAGUGGAAGGGCCAUCGCUCAACGGAUAAAAGCUACCUCGGGGAUAACAGGCUUAUCUCCCCCAAGAGUCCAUAUCGACGGGGAGGUUUGGCACCUCGAUGUCGGCUCAUCGCAUCCUGGAGCGGUAGUACGUUCCAAGGGUUGGGCUGUUCGCCCAUUAAAGCGGUACGCGAGCUGGGUUCAGAACGUCGUGAGACAGUUCGGUCCUUAUCUAUCACAGGCGUAAGAUAUUUGAGAGGAGUUGCCCCUAGUACGAGAGGACCGGGGUGAAGGAACCGAUGGUGCGCCAGUUGUAUCACCAGAUGCAUAGCUGGGUAGCCAAGUUCCGACGGGAUAAACGCUGAAAGCAUAUAAGUGUGAAGCCCACCUCGAGAUAAGAUAUCUCAUAACGAAAGUUAGUAAGACCCCUUGAGGACUACAAGGUUGAUAGGCUGGGAGUAGAAGUGCAGUAAUGCAUGUAGCGGACCAGUACUAAUAGGUCGAGGGCUUGACCAAG